GAUAAAAUGGCUGAGUUUAAGGCGAUAAAUUGUAAAUUUAUUAACGGGGUUUCUCUUUUAUCAAGUU
rnacentral:tRNA from 1 species